GCCGGCUUGCACGCCGCCGUCCGGUGGUCGAAUGGGAGGUCCGGGUGGAGUGAGAAGAACUCCGACCCCUUGCUGGAGUCACACGGCGGACGGAUGCUGCUGACUGAAUACAGGUUUCCCCACCGAGGGGCCCCUGUAGCUUGGCAUUCUCACUGCAUUUGGACUCUGUGUACUUAGUUGGAGAAAGGGUCAGGAUUUCAUACUGAGGUAUGGAGCUUUUCAGCAUAUUUAUUAGUUUUUUUUGUUUUCUUUGGCCUAUGAGAUGUUUGCAAAUUUAAAUGUUAAGUCAAUAAGAUAAAUAUAUUGCCUUCAUUUUAAUAUAUCAAAAUUAUCGGCACCUAGAGACGAGCUGGUUUCAUUAAACUAUACUACUAAAUCUGCAUGAUUUGGUAUUUUAGUUAAUUUUGCACAAAAUGUGGUCCAAGUAGAAGUAUGAUACCUGACAGCAGGAGAGAAUUUAAGAUCUGCCAGUUCUUCAUACUCUGUUGGGUAUUUGAAAAUCAUGCUUUGUUCUUUCAGCUCUGACUGUCACUGGUCAUUAAUCAUCAACAGCACAGAUCCUAAAAUCGGGGUCUCAUAUUUUUUCUGUAAAUGGAUAAGCGCUAAAACUUAGCUUUCUUCUUUUUUUCUUUCCUGCAGUUUAAUAAUAAUCACAGUUACUGGCUCAGCAGCACUGACAGAAGUAAACAUUUGUUUUGCCACUUAACUAAAUGCAUGUGACUCAGGAGCUACAUAGGCUCAUAUACUGUAAUGCAUGCAGUCUACACAUAGAAACUUGCAUCAGGAUCAACAAUAAGUUGGCAUGUCAACAAAUUCAAAUUUACAGUAGCUCAUGAGACCUCACUGAGCUGUGAAUUGGGCCUUGCGAUCGUGUACAGUCAGGAGGAAACUGGUAUGGACAAUCAUUUUACAAACUGUAUGAGCUGCAAAACAAUUCCACUAUAAGUCUCAAGCUAUUAAAAUAUGUCAUACAAAUUUGAAACUCUGAAGUGACUUGCAUAAAGUAACACACUUUACACUCGUAAACUCGUAACUACCUCUCUAGUCAUGUGUUUGCUGUAUGGACAAUAUUGACUGAAUAAUGAAAUCUGUUAUUAAGUCUAAUAGACCUGUGUUGGUUCAGACAGUUUUCUAUUUCUAAUGGACUAUUCUUCAGUUUUAGCUGUAGAAAACAAUAAUUUAAAGUGCUGCCUCAGAUCUAUCCAUGUACCAAAUUUUCUUUCUUUUUACAGUUUGAAAAAUUUAUGAUAUUAAUUACUGCAAGCAAUUGAGAACAGAGGUCCAAUGGAAAAAUGACAAAUUAUAGGUUCUGGUCUACUGAGUGAACAUGAACUUCAAUAGCUAAAAUUUCUCCUUCAAUAUGUAUUUUAGUUUAUUCCCUUUGUCCAUAAAUAUUUUUGUAAAUAUGAUUUUUUGAAUAGAUAAAUACAGGAAAAUUGUAGUACAAGAACAAAUUACAUAUUCAUUGCUAUGGACAAAAUGAUUUAACAAAUUAAACUAAAUUCCAUAAAAAUCACAGUUUUCAAAUUAUUUUAUUUGUACUAACAUAUGGAUAAAUAAUUGCAUUACAGUGAAUCAUAGAACAACCAUAAACUCACAUUAUAUUCUGAUUUUGUACAACUGUUUUAUAUCUUUCUGAUAGAAUCUUUAAUGUUCUGAUAUAAUGCUGAUAUAAAAAAAAAUACAUAAAUAGCUAAAAGAACCUUGCAAAAUUGAUUUAAAAUAAAUUCUUGAAACAUUGAAAUUGUUAAUUUUGUCAUGCUCUUACAGCCUUUUUAUAAAAGGUGAUUAUGUGUAUUUGAAUGUGUUGUUAGUUCAAAAAUUAUGGCAGUUUUGCAACCAUUUUCUACAUGCAGCUACAUUAUUUUCAAACAGUAGUUCAAGAAUUUUAAGGAUUUCACUUUUUAAAAAUAGUAAUUUUUAAACAUACAGUAGCUUAUUUUGUGAGCUGGAUGUAUUUUGUGGCUUCAGCUGCAGCACAGGAUCUUCCGAGAUUUCCAGGAAUAUUUAACUGUGUUUUAGAACUAAAUACAACAUCUAAUACUGAUGAUGAGAAUAGGAAAAUUUAGUAGUUAAAACUACACCAUCCAGCUCUGACUACUUCAAGUAAACAAACAGCCUUUGCAGUGUUUGAAUCAAGGCAAUUUCAGUAACAUAGUUUUGUCAGCUUUGCUUCCAGAUUACGUGCAUUUCUGGAAAACAGCUCAAUACAUACUAAUAAGAGGCCUAACUUGCGUCCACCACUACUGAACUGCAAACCAGUAAACAUUUUAUUCUCCAUUUCUGUAAUGAAGUGGAUGAUUUUAAAGACUAGUUUUAGCCACUCCUCUAAUAUAUUGUACAUUGAAGCAAGUGUAGUAUUUGGAAAUUAAGUUGAAAAGUAGAGUUUCAUUUCUGUUAUGGAGUGUUUAUAAGCCCAUCUCAGCUUGUAAACUGUGUUAUUUUGUUUCUGGAUUCUGACAUUAUCUUCAGGCAGGCUCUUCAUCAGCUCUUCAUCAAUUCAUUAUUUUAGUCCCAAAGAAUCCUGAAGAGCUCUUUUUUAAAUGUGUGAUACCUUGAAAUUAAUAAUCACAUUUUAUAGAUUCUUUGUAAGCCAAAGGUCCCUUGGUCUCUUCUCUACUCAUAUAUUAUGUGUUAAACAUUUUCUGGUGCUAAUCCAGUUUCAGUGGCUGAUGAAAGACUGUGAAACAUAUCCUGGAUAAGAAUGUCAAAGCCUAAAAUCUUUUGAUGUGUUCUUCAGUGAUGAAAAGAUAUCUCUAAAACAGACCAUAACAAUUCAGCAAAAGUAAACUCUUCUAUAAUGUAGUUGAUAGGCUUGAUCUUAGUAGUUGGAGGUACACAGACUGAGUCUCCUAUUACACCUGUAUAUUCUUUCUUUUGAAUGUAGGAUAAUUCAGGUGUGGUUGAAAUCUUCUGUAGAGAAGCAGAAAAAGAAAAUACAAAAGAGUAAAUUGUAUGUUUUUCUCUCCUCCAUGGAACUUAAGCAGAUCUCCUGCUUGAAAAAGAAGGUGGAAAUGGCAACUUUGACAAUAAACAUUUCUCUUGUGGCCGUCACUAUUAAUAGUAAGUCAGUAAUUUGAUUGCAGUGGUAAAUAUUAGCAGCUCAAAGAGAAAGACAGCUCUAGGAUAGCUUCUUUUUAAAUUAUUUUUUAUUUUGCCUUAUUUCUGUCUAUUUUCAGGCUCAAUAUUGAACAGUGAAAAAUAAUUUUAAAAAAACCACAAUGCCAUAAAUUAUAUUUGAAAUUCAGACUAUUUGCUGAUUUUAGGGUUUACAAUUUAAGCUUCUGUUUUUCAGGAUGUUGUGUAUAUCAGAUCUUUGAAGGCUGUGUAGAGCCUGCCUAACGUCAGUUGACUUCUGUACAGGCAAGAGACUGUCCCUUAGCCUGUUGUAACAGUUGGAACUGCAUUCAUAAAAAUAGUAAGGGCAUAUAAAUCACAGCUCAGUCGUCACUCACUUGUAGAGAUAUUAUUCACACACUUUCUAUUAAAAAUGUACAUAAUUUACAUAGUUUUUGAAGUAAUUUUAUGUAGGAUCACAUUGAUGCAUAUGUAGGUAUAUGUAUACAUAUACAACAAUGCUUAUUUCCAUUUAAUUCUGUAGGAGAAAAUUGUUUACUUCUGAUUUUUUCCAAUGGAAUUCAUAAAGUUGAGUAAAUAACACAAUAGAAAUAAAAUAAAUAAAUUUAUUCAGAUACCCACUUUGCAUUCCUGUAACUUUUGUUGUGUCAUUUUUAGAUUAUGUUAUGCUUCCAUAUUUACUAAGGCAGACCCACCCAUUUCAUGCCAAUCAUGUCUUUCACCAAAUUCUAGAAGGAGCGAUAUUGUCAUCUUCAGAUGUGCUUUCCAAGGCUACAUACAGUCCAGAGGGGUCUUCAACCACCUCUAGUUUGAUCACCUAAUCCAGAUCUGCUAAGAAAAGGAACACCUUGUCUGAGAAACUUUCACAAACCUAAACAACAUUCUGAAAAAUAUCUGUUCUCUCACUUUACUGAAAGCAGAUCAAAUUGACAUAACAUCUUUAAUGGUAAUGUAUCAAAAUAGAACUGAAAGAAAGAUUAAUAAAUGGAUACAUACUAUUCAACUGCCAACUUUUUAAUGAUACUUGUCAGGAAGAAUAUAUCAGAAGUGUUGACCAUGAGAAGGCCUGCAUUCUUUCUUGACUGUUUUUCUCAUGAAGGGGAACUGCAUCUUUCAGCCUCCCUAGAAGAUAUGUUAACAUUCACCUCCCACAAGGACCAUGCUUUUCUUCACUGGGAUUUUUUUCAGAGAGAAAGAAAGCCCUCAAACUCUGAUGUGCAAUAGGUUUUUCCUACAUUUUUCAUGAUGUCCUUCAGGUUAUGUACUCUCUCAAAUGCAGAAUGAUGUGCCACAGAAAGGCCUGCUUAGCUGUGCAUCUUUCCAUCAGUUAUCUGGCCUUGACUGUAGAGGAAAAUAGGUGAUCCCAAUUUGAGAUGUCAAUUCCUGCACCAAAUAAAAUAGCUCCUUGUUUGUGUUUCUAAUUGCCACUCAUCCUCUGCUCCUAAAUCCCAAAGUAAUUCAGGAGCAGGUCAUGAGGCCCUUGAAAUGAAAAAUGCCCAGUGGCUUAGUACUGCAUGCUUGUCUUGUGAAUGCCCUAAUGCAAUGAUAUAUACAUACAUGUUUAUCAACAUUAAAGCCAGUUAGAAACUAAUCACAAAAUAUUUCAGGACAAAAACAUAAAUACGGUUAAAUAUUUUUUUUAAAUCUAUGAAUAGUCAGUGAUAACCAGUGGGAUUUUCCCCAGUGCCCCUGAUAAUGGAUUACAGCAAACUAAAUUCAAAGAGGACCAAUGAAGUGAAAGAUCAGUUAGGUUUCAAAUGAGGUGAGUUGAUUACUAAUUCUUUAAAUCCUACUUUGUGUGCCAGAAGCUAAUUUACAACAUUGUCAUUAUAUGUGAACAUGGUAGAAGAAAGAGGAAUAACAACUAUAGCAAAGCAAAAAAUUUCGCUAUUGACUUACAAGUACAUGGAAUACCUUUAUAAAACAAUAGAAGUGGUCAUUAGUGAACAAAAUAGUCAUGUAUGGUGCAGUCAAUGAGAGUGGUGGGAAUAAUUUUUUUUCUACCUUUUACCAUCACUGACAGUAAUGGAGUUUUAAAAAGAAUGUUUCAAAUAAAAGAUGGAUAAUUCAGAGUAGAUUGAAAUCUGAACAUAUGUUUUCAAUGCAGAUUUUGGGAAUUGAAGAGGUUUUGUUUACUGCUAAAAGGAAGUCACCUGAGAAUGAAGUUGUAUGAUAUAUGCAAAACAGUUUACCACAAAAAGUUCAUCAGCAAUCUGCCUUCUUUAGCAAGCAUACAUAAAAUCAUCAACCUUCUAAAUUAUGUUAAUAAAUUAAUAAUCAAAUAUGAUCUAUGAAGGAUGGGACGAGUAGAACUCAACUUUUUUUUUUUUUUCCUGGGGAAGUAAGGGAUGUGGUGUUUCUGGGUUUUUUUUAGAAUAUCCUGCUAUAUGGUGUACAGAAAGAGACUUCAAACAUAAAUGAUCUAUUGAGCAAAAAAAUCUUUUAUUAACUUAGAAUCGUUUUGCCUUGUGAGGAUGAUAACAUUUGCAGAUUCAAAUUUGAUUAAAUGGAGUGGUAAUUUGCGGAGUGAAAGACAUUGUAUAUACUUCAUGAAUGUAAAACAACACCAUAAGUAAUGCUUAAAUAAAUGUAACUGACCACAAUUUUGUAAAUAAUCAACUGCUGAUACAGUCUUUUUCUUCUCCUACAGAACAAGCAUACUUUCUUCAAACAGUGCUUGACACAAAGGAAAACAGUGAGAGUGUAACUCUUCAGGUUACUAAAAUUAAAAGACAGGAGCUGUAGCUGCUGCCUUCCACAGAGGCAAGACACUACUCCCUGCUGAAAGAAACCAUAUUGGAGCCUUAGCAUAAGAAUAACCAUAUUGUCUGAGGAGAAGAGAAGCCAUAUUGAGUUUUCUUCAUCUACACAAACUGCUGCAUGAGCAUAUUGUUACAAAAGAAAUGUACGUUGAAGAACAGUAGGCUGUCUACCUGAGUUUACAUAGCAUAACUUAACUACCACAAAGCUAAGAAAAAGGUCUGUUUUAUGCAGAAAUUUACACCUCUUGCAUUAUCACAGAUACAAUUGUAACAAAGUUAAUGCACACAAUGAGUCAUAACACAAAUGCAAGAGAAAAGUGUCCUGGAAGAGGACCAUCAGGAGAAAGAGAAAAAAAAUUAGACUUGUAUAAGACAAUGGGAAGCUGGGGCUAGAUGCUGGUUUUCUGGAGAUUUUCUAAUGUAAAUGUCGUUCAGAUGAAGGCCCAUACUCAUUGGAAUGUUCAGCUGUUUUGCACUUCUUCAAAUAAGCAAAACAUCUGUAAACCUAGCUUAACUCUCCAAUUAAGCUGAAUUUAUGGCAUCUUUACAAUACCAGUGCAGAACAAAGCAGCUGGAAACAACAAGUAAUUCUGAGCCUAGCAAUCCCUUUUUAGGGCUUUAUUUGGCGUUCUUUAGUCAGGCAAAACUUUGCCAGUUCGCCUAAGAUUAAAUUUAGAGGCCUCUUAGAGGCCUCUGAAGAUUAAACAAAAUUAUACCAUAGAACACAUGUUUAUAAAUGCAUAGACUUUAGAUAUUUCAGUGAAACAUAUUUUGAGCAGAUUAAUCUAAUUUAGUAGCCUAGUGAACUCAGAACUCUCACUAAUUUCUGUAAUUACCAGGAUUGCAUCUUCGUUAAAUUUGCCUCUUACUUUUUUUUAAUGAUGAAGUAAAUUGACUUUUGUUUCCAAAUUAAAUUUAAUAACUACAUUCUGCGACAAUUCUUGCACUUGUGAGUUGUAUGUGUAGGUGACAAAUCUCCUUUUGCCCUUAGCUACAGGAGUCCUGAGGCAUGGUCCUGAAAUACUUACAUUAAUAAAAAAAGAGGCCAUGGACAUCAGUAUGUUGAUGUACAGUUCAAUUUCAUACAGCUUUUCUUUAUGAUUGUCAGCACAGAGGAUAAUUUGAAAUAGCUUUUACUCUUUUUUUUUUGCAUCUGUUCUGUAUGAGUCAGCGGCCUUUAGCAGACCCAAACAACAGAGGCUUCUUAUUCCUUCAAGAAGAGACUCCCCUUUUUGAUCUCAUAGGCUAGACCUGUGCUAAGGAGUGUAAUGUUGGGCCUAGCUGCCAGUCUGAGAGCAAAUAUGGCAGCUAUGGCUAACCUAUCUUCUCCAUAAAUAAAAAAUAAAAAAUGGGUGACCUAGUCAAUACUGACUAUUGGGAUCAAACCCUGCCAUGUACCAUCCUCUGGAUCGUGUCCAGGAGCUGACUGACAGAGUACUUGUUGCCUCAUGCCAGAGCUGAGUAGUUACUGCUAUUGCAUGGCAGUGUUUGUGCACCUGUAGCCAUGGAGCAGUGCAGUAAUGCUUGCAUGGAAGCAGUACAUUUGUCAGAAGGCUGAAAUUCCUAAAUAAGAAAUUGCACAUCUAAAAUAAACAGGCUCAACUGUCCAACUCGGCAUAUAAACUGGUCUGUGCCAGGAUUGUUUCUGGCUUUUAUUUCUUGCUCCAAUGAGCCAGGACCAGGGUCCAGCAGAUACUUCUCUGUGCUUGGGAAUUACUGAUAUCACUGACCUACAAGAUAAGCUUCUUGUACCUUUUCUGGGUUGCCCUGAAUCUUGUUUGGUUUGCUACGGCAGCAUCAUUUCACCAGGAAGACUGGGAAGUCAGUAUCUACAUGCUGAACAGCCUAAUGUCUGCAACAUAAAUUCAUGGGAGAAUGUGUUGUAUGCUUGUAGCUAUAUGUGUGAAAGGUCUGAAUUUCCCUACCAGCAGUGUCUGGAUCCAGAGUUUUGAUUUCAAUUCUAUUCCUCUGCUUCAUAUAUAAACCUGAAUUUAGCAAUUAAAUGAGUACUUCUGCAUUCUAGGCCCACGAGCACUUCUUCAUACAAAUGAAAAACCAGGUUUGGAAAUUCUCCUCUCUUUGGGAAUAUUUGACACUAGAAUUCCAGUUCCAGCAUUUCUCUGAUGGUCUGAAGUCUGGAAAACAUGGGUGUCCUAUAUCAUACAAAGAAAAAGACUCACUCAAAUUCAUCUCCCACUGGGGAUAUGAAUUGCUAUGUGUAUAACCAGAUGAUUAAUGUGGUUUUAUGCAGCUUUACCUUUAUUCUGGCAUAUCAUAAAUCUGUGGUACCACAUACAUGCACAAGUACCACAAGUACUGUGCACAAAUACACAACGUCUAAUCUGAUGUCUCAGAGACAGAAACAUUUCAGGUGAUACAGUUCUAUAAGGCAAUGUCCUCAAAAGUUACUGAGGUAUUAGUUUAAUAAGUUUAAUAUGAAUUCCUAUCUUGCAUUUCUUGUUAACAAAAUUAAUGUUUGAAAUAAGCCCAGUCUCUACUGUUACUCAAAUAAAAACUACAACCUGGAAAAGAAUCAGAAUCUUUUCUGAAUUCUGUAGGAUCAGUUGCAACUUCAGCAUGUAUUAUCUUUGUAAACCAAUACCUUCACUGUGUAAUACGUUAAGUAAAUACAGCUUGUCAUUUACAAGGUGUCUCCUCCCACUGACUGUCAAAUGAAGCACAAAAAUGUUAAAAAAAAAAAAAAAGACUCCUCAGUAGCUUCAUGAGUAGUUGUCCACUUAUUCCAGAGAUCAGUAAAAUGUUUGGCAAGAAAAGCAUGGACUGAAUACAAGUACUCAUUCACAUGUCAAAGCCAAAAUUGAAAACACAGUUCAGCGGAGUGCAAGGACAAGAGUGCCGGAAAGGCACUGUUGUAAAUAAGUGCAACAAAAUUGUACCACUCUCCACUUUCUGAAUUGAUAUCAUGUACAGCCCAGCUACAUUUCUGUAAAACAGUGUGCCUGAAUGCAACUCAUGAAUGUGAAUGCCUUGUCCUGUGAACAGGAGCCAGACACCAACCUCUGUAUCAAUACACGGAAGAACAAUUGUAGCUAUGAAGAAAAAACAUGUUUUCCCACCACCCAGCUUGUCUAAAAUCUUGAUUUGUAGUGUGAAGGUGUGUUUUAAACAUGAUUUUGGACACGCUGAAUUUUGAGAGCUAAAAUAAAAAGUAGAUUUAUUGGUGGAGUUUAAACUCUCUGGAGUUUUAACUGAAUGCCAUACUUUAUCAGUCAAAAAUAAGUGAUUAGUGAAAAACAAAAAUGUGUGAAGUUCUGUAAAUUUAAGUCACUGCCUGACACUUGGGUGCCCACACCUUCAAAAUAAGCAGUGUGGGAACCCCAGAGUAAUAAGCACAGCUGUUAAGACCAUAUCUGGUGUUAAGAGCACAUCAAGACUGUCCUUCUUCUUCAUAUGGCUAGAUAGUUUUUCCAUCACUUGUACUUCAGUAUUUCUGAAACCAGGUGUUAAUUUUCAGGGGGAUAGGAGGUUUCCAAGCAGCUGCCAGGACUAAUAUAGCAGCCAGCAGUAAACACUGAAUAAGCUUAGGUACAAAAUGUGUACCAUCUGGUUUCAGGAGCCUGUAGCCAAAAAUGUGAGGCCAGUUCCUUUCAUGUCCAGAAAUCUUCCCUUCACUGGGAGUUGUGAAAUGGAUCUUACCUUUGCAUUACCUUUUAAUUCACUGCUCAGAGGAAGAUUUGAAUAAUGGUCUUAAGAAAAUGUUGCAUAAGUGUAAAAUGGGAAACUAAAAUAACAUGCUCAGUUUGCAAAAGAUGAACGCUAUUUGACAAGCUGAGAUCAAAGUGCUUGCUCAGUCUCACAGUAGUCUAGUUUUCCAAGAUGCUGUUUCUCUAUCAGUAAUAUCUACCCGUGCUCAGCACAAACAAAUUCUCCCUCAGAGUUGUCUCCCGAGCUAGUAAGUCAAAAAGAAGUUACAAAAUUAUGCCCUUAAGGAUUGAUUUAAGACCAGGGAAGUGAGCAAUUUGGUCUCUCUUGUCUCUCAGUGAGGCAGUCCUUCUGGGUUCCUUAGGUGUCUUGAGAGAUCAACUGUUCUACAUAAAAAAUAACUUUACUGAAUAACUUGAUAAAAGAGUAACCUAAGACUGGCCUUGUUCACAGACAUGAGGUCAGAGGUAUGUGUACGGUUUGGGCCAACGUAGAGAUACCUGAAGAGAUCCAAGCAACAGAAAUUCCACUGAAGAAAUAUGGGAAAGGAAUGUUUCCUGGAAAAGUCCAAAUCAUUCUGUCCCCUCUCUCAGGGAGUCAUAAGUAAUUGAUAAUUUACCUUCCUUAUCAAAGCCCUGAAGACAUCAGCCUAUUGUAUUGUUCAGAGAAUAAUUAAUAUCUCUUAGCUUUUUUACUUCUGGGUUAUAUAUAAAAAAAUGCCUAUGAUAAGAAACCACACAAUCCUAAUUUUCCCUUACUAUCAUCACUGCUUUCAACACAUUGAUUAACUCAGUGCUUUAGCUGGAUGAUUAAACCCUUUUGAGAAGGGACUGUCAUGUUACUUUAUUUGGCCAGACCAGACUAUAAUGAUUUCUCAGUCUGUAGGCACUAUCACAACACAGAUAAAACAGCUAUGAUAGUGCUUUACAUUCCUGGUAAAUAUGGGGUUUUCUAUACUGUAGUGUAUAGAUAAAGACAAGUGAGAUUUCCCUGGGCUCUGUACAGCAAGUUAGAAUAGCUCUACUAUAUGAUCUAGCUGCAGGUUUAACAGAGAUGUAUUUAAAGAUGGGCAUAUGAAUAAAGAGUCUAAACUAAGACAAGAAAAAUAUAGUUUUAAAAGCCUGAUGUUUUUAUUUGACACCAAUAUCCAGAAGACUUAAUAUUCUGUGGGUUUGUUCUGACUUCUUCUGUGGUUAGCAAUCAAAACACUUUUCUAUAUACGUGCGUUGUAAUAGUAAAGUGAUAACCCUUCUGAUAUGCACCUCAAUAGUGUCUGAUAAUAAAUUCCAGCCACGGAGCAUUUGGAAUUAGCAGUUCCAUCCAGUCAGACUAUUUUAUAAUGCACUGUGAAUAACUGUUUCAGCAAAGGCAGUGAUGUUUCUGCUUUCAGGCACUGAAACUUUAGUGGUAGUAUAAAUCCUGAGACAGCACACAAUGUACUUCAAGAGUGAAAUUUAGUCAGCUUAAAAAAUUUUGUGGUCCACACUUCCAUUUAUCUCUGAAUGUAUGAUAAAUUGUUGAUCUGCAGAUAGAGGAGAGUCUUCUGCAUUGUAUUCACGUAGCAUCUGUAAGUAAUAACUUAGGAAACUGCACUGCACUGAUAUUUUUCAAAAUGGUAAGAAAAUACACAUCCAAAUACCAGUGUGCUUUGUGUCUGGUGAACUGACUGCUAUAUUGCAGAACAGUUGUCUCACUCUGAAGCUGUAGGCUCCACGUUCAAAAGUAGGACUAUACCACAGACUGCAAAACCACUCAAAUAACAGACACGCCACAAAGUCCAACUAGAUCCAGGAGGCUUUCCUGUUACUAAUUUUCAUUUAUUUUAUUAUUUAAUAUAUUUACUAGGAUCUAUGUGACUAUUUCUAAUGUUAUGAAAGACACAGGGAGAAAACAAUACAAAAAAACCACGGAUCUUUAUUUCACAUUAUCUGGUAUAGUUCCCAAAACUCACAAAACAAUUUUAAUACCAGAGAGAAAACAUUUCAGUGAAAGCAAGUACAUGCACAGCCUCUAUCCAAGAAGAAGAAGAAAUUUUAUUACUCACUCUUCUUCAGUGUUAACAGCCAGAGGGAAUACACUUUGGAAAUCAAUUUUCUCUUACGGGAACUUGAUGUGGGUAGCUGCUUGAUGUGUUCAGCUUCUGUAUGGCCCAGAUUCAGCAAGACACUUAAAAGUGCGUCUGACUGUUCAUGUGGGUAUUGAGGUAUGCACUUAAGUACCUUGCUGAACUGGGGCUUGUGUUAUGUCAUAUGUAUUCACAAGGUUAGGCAUGCAGGCUAAUAAUUUUUCCAUUUUUUCUAGGUAGACCACAGAUAAGUACAGUCACACUAUACAUGUGGAAGCACCUGCAAUUAAUUUAUCAAAUGAUGUUACCCAAGGCAAUGGAGAAUACCCAAAGCCAUGGAAAACGUUCUGUUGGAGAAAGAUACUAAUUUGCUCCUCGGUACAGAUCCUGUAGACUGCUGAGAGGAUUUGCAUGGGCCAAACUUCAAACAUACAGGAUAACAAAGUACCAUUUUAUUGAAAUAUGGUGACCCAAUAUGCAGCACUUGCAGCCAGUCUCAUGCCCCACUGUACUAGACACCACAGAGAAAUGUGAGUUCCCUGCUCCAAGUGGUUCACAUUCUUGAAAAGUUUUGUAUGCCAGGGUUAAGGAAUUGCAGAGCAUACAUUUGCCACAAUGAAAUGCUUACCAAGAUAAAUCAAAAAGCAGAUAAUUUAGGAGGGAAAAAAUUAAGUGCAUGACUGCUUUUUCCCCCUUUAAACUGGCUAUUAGCCCAGGCAUUAGCCUAUCUAACCCACAAGUGAGUAAGUUGCUUAGGAAACACAGUGAUUCCAAGCAUCAAGGGAGCAUCACCAAGCAAAAUUUUUCUAUUUUCCCUGGAAGACAACAUGUGAUUAAGAUUGCUUUCUAGUCUGCUCAUCUGCUCUCUCUUACUCACUUCUAAAAUUGUGGCACAGGAAUAACUGUGCCAAGGGUACAAUGUCCCCAGGUGUUCAUUGAGAUCCAGUGGCUGAACAGAAGAGGAACACUGCAGCUGCUAGCUGUUACAAGCCCCAUUAAUGAGGCACAGGGUCUGACUAGAAAAUUUGGUACCUGUAUUUAUAAGAAUACUGGAAACUCAUAUCUACUUCAAAUUAACCAGGUUCCUUACCUGUUCUACCAUUACCUAUAUUUUUGGUGAAUAAACUGCAAUAUCCCACUCUGCACUUCUCUAUCCUAGCAAAGACACUUACAAAACCUUGAUUUAGUGCUGUUUCUGAAGAAAAGACUACUACAGCUCAACCAAGAAGAUGCACCCGUCUGAUCAAUACAUGCCAGUCAGUGCAUGUAUGGCCGUAACAGAACUUGAGCACAUGGGGUAUAAAAACAGGAGAAUAUGGGAAGGAGCUGCAGAUCCCAAUGACCAUUAGCACAGUUUGGGGUUUCAGUUCUUCCACUGUUCACUUAUUUCAUAAUUAUCGUCCUUGGCUUACUUUCAGUCAGCUGUAACUGACAAAAGUAAUUCUUAUUAUCUCCAUAUUGCCUCAGUAUCUAUGCUUCAGUCACUUUUUUUCCAGUGCUAGCUCUGUGAACUGUCACCCUUCUGAUUUUUAUUCAAACUUUCUGUAAAGUUUGAUUAAGAGUGCCAGUUUGUAUUAUAAGGUUGAUUCACAUCUUAGUGGUAUGAAAAUAUUAUGCUAUUUGAAAAAGAUGACACAUAUAUUGUCAUGAAUUUUAACAGUGGAAAUGUCCUGUUCACGCUGACGAAAUAAAUUUUUAGAAGCUGUUUGAGCCAUAUUUCGUUCUUAGUGUAAACUGGAUACAAUGCUGAUGAAAUUUAGUGUGCAUUAGAAUGAAUAGGAAAUGAUCAGAACUGCCUUGCUUCUCACCCAUCUGCACUGUUUUUUAUUCAGCUGAUGGGAUCUCUAUGUAUUUUGAACACUAGGACUGAUAUAAACUGUGAGUUGAGGAUGGGAGAACACACAGCAAUGAUAUGAAAAAGAAUAAAGCUGAAAAUUAGGACAGAAGAUUGAAAUCAGGAUGGAUUUAUAUCAUUUGUUCCUAUUUUAUUCAUCUUGGUUGUCUGAUAAACUACCAAGCAGGACAAAGUUCAGGGGACUUGAUAUACUGCAUGUUAAGUCUUUGUUGUUACAAGGUGAACUCCCUCACUCCAGCUUACUCUCCUCAUCUCCCACACUUGUUUUAAUACAGAGGAAAGUUCAACUCCCCCUGCUUAGCUCCAGUACCUCUUAAUGAGGGAGCUGUAACACUAUGCAGUUGCCUCACCACACAGCAAUCAGAAUUUCAUUGCUUCACACAGCUUGGCUUAUGUCAAAAAGAAUGGUUAAAAUUCACCCAAGUCAUGGAAACCCCCUGUUGAGUUAUGCACAUCACAUCUUAACUACAGGAGGAAUUUUUGUUGGUUUUGAUUUUUAAGUGGUCAAAGGGCACAAAGUAUUAUUUCUGAAAGUUCUUUCACAUACAUUGUUCUUAGGAUGCUGGCAUGAGCAAGAUGAUUUACAUAUCAUAUAGUUACAGAAGCACAAGUGAGAGAACUACACAUGCCAAUAAAAAGAAACAUCAUUUACAAAAAUGCAGUCUGAUCAUACAAAAUAGAUCCUCUAGACCACUGUGGUUGAGAAAAUCUCUUUGACCAACCUAAUAGAUUGCCUUUAACAGUGUAGCCCUACAUUUAUAAAAAUCAGAAGGAGAAGGUUCAAGGACUGUAAAUUGGAAUCCUGGGAUGUAGUGUUAUUUAUGUGCAGCAGCACUUGAACCAGAAUUCCUGGAGCCUUCAGGAUGAGCUUCCUUGAAUGCAUACAUGUACAUCAUAUGGUUACUGCAAUUCCUGCAAGAGGAAAAAUACAAGCAAACAUUUGCAGGCACUUGACUUAUGUUUGCUGUAGCUCGUCAUACCUUCCAAAAGUCUUCAGACAUGCUUUCAUUUUUAGUGUGUUUCUUCAAUUAAACUGAAAACCAGACACAAGAGAAUGCUCUAUUCAAAUGUGAAAAUAUUGUAUUGCAUUACAGGAAGCCUCCAAAUUUAUAAAAAUAUGAAUGUUGUGGUACAGAGGUAAAAGAUUCCUAUUACCCCAGUUACAAGAAAGUUCAAAGGAUAUCAUAAGCAAUUACCACUGAAAUGAUAACGUUAUGGAUAUUUUUCUGCAUAUGUGGGGUCAACAGAAUGAAAUGGCUCUACAUCCAUGAAAAAUUAAUUAUCCACAGAAAACCUGAAUUAUAUAUAAACAAUAGCCUUGAAACCAACACAUUAAAUUAUAUUUUUAAAUUGCCACUUCCUUAAAGCUCAUUUAAAGAUAUAAGGAAGGACUGAGUAAGUCAGUAUCCUUUAUUCUGGAGAACCAACAAGUUAAAAAACCAAAGAAUUUACAGAAUUGUAAGUGGUAUGGAGGUAGAUCAUAGAAUCAUAGAAUGGUUUGGGUUGAAGGGAUCUUUAAGAUCAUCUAGUUCCAGCUAGUUCACCAGUUCCCCUUCCAGUUCCCCUGCUAUAGGGAGGGACACACUUCACUAGACCAGGUUGCUCAAAGCCCCAUCCAGCCUGGCCUUGAAUGCUUCCAGGGAGGGGGCAUCCACAUCCUCACUGGGCAACCUGUUCCAGUGUCUCACCACACUCACAGUAAAGAAUUUCUCCCUAAUAUCUAGUUUAAAUCUACCCUACUCCAGUUUCAAGACCAUUUCCCCUCAUCCUCUUGCUACCUGCCCUUCUGAAAAGGCCCUCCCCAGCUUUCCUGUAGGCCCCCUUCAGGCACUGGAAGGCCACUAUAAGGUCUCCUCACAGCCUUCUCUUCUCUAGGCUGAAGAGCCCCAGCUCUCUCAGCCUGUCCUCUAGGGGAGGUGCUCUAGCCCUCUGAUCAUCUUCAUGGCCCUCCUCUGGACCUGCCCCAACAGCUCCAUGUCCGUGUUGCGUUGGGGAUAGAGAUCGGUUGUUCACUAUUUUCUCCAGUGCAAAAACAGGAGGGCAUCAAGUGAAGAAUGUAAAUCCUGAUCCAAACAAAUUUGAGAAUCUGUUUUUUCAUAAAAUGGGCAGUAGUGGAUGUUGUACUCACGUGGGUGUGAGGGGAAGUUAGAAAAGCUAAUGGAAGAAAAAUCCAUUACAGCUAACUGUAUACAUAGAAAUUACAGCUAAUGAAGAAAAUCCACCUAGAGAUAGCAUAAAGCUGGGAAUCCUCAGGGCGUACUUAUAUUUGCUUUACACUGUCCUUACUUUUCUCCACUUCAUGGCAUGUGAGGCAAUGAUGGGUAGUGCUCAGUGGUGCUAUGCCCAAUUGUCAGGGAUAGGACAAUGCAGAACAGAAUGGUCCUGCAUGCACUAGAUCCCAUCAAGUUUCCCUCUCUAUGAGCUAUGAACAAACAGCAUAGCCAAUCACUUUGUGCAAUAUGAAUCAACAUUUCUAUGCCAGCUCUAUCUUCUUCAUGAGACCAACAUAGUCAGCAUUCAUUCUCUGUUUUAGUAUUUACCAACAAUUCUUUCAGGUGAGAAAUCUAAGCUCUGCCUUGGGACAGACUAUUCUGGGGUACAGGCCUUAUGGACAGGCUGCCCACCACCCACCCCAGUUCACAUUCUCUUGGCACACUUCCCUCCUCACACACCUCUCAUGAGGCAGGGCUCACAGCUUCUGAAAUGAGUGAAGUUUGUGGUCCUCGUUAGCAUGAUCAAAGUGGCGUCUGCGUGCAGCAGAAGAGAUUGUAUUAGUACUGCAAUGCACAACUCUGAUACGUAGCAAGGACCAAUUCUUAAAAAAUGCCCAGAGACAGUGCAGCCACAAGCCAAGCAACCUUGUUUGGUCAGGAGGCACUCUUUGGUGUGAAAAUCAGCAGCAAAAUCAGUGUAGCCUGUACAUGACGAAAACAUAGCACCUCAGAGUUAACAACUCAGCAUUUGACAAGGUAGUCAGAAUAAAAGGCUAACCUGAGUGAGUUCAAACAGUACAUCCAAACAUUUUAUCAUUUACCUCAAAUGCAAGUUCUUCAAUAUCAUUAAUAUGAUUCAGUGUGACAAGGAAAAAAAUACAGUAUUUGUGCUACAUAUCUGAGAAAAUUUGGACUUCUGGGUGCUUUUAGGGAGAAAGAAUUAUGAAUUGCUCUGAGAGGAAUCCAGCUGCAUGUAGAAAAUAUGAAUGACUUUUUAUGUGCAAAUAGUAAAAUCAUUUGUUAGUCUUUGGAUAUGGGCUGUGCUAUACAGAUUUAUGACCCACAAAACACAGUGGUCUUAAACCAGGCCUAACUAUGCUUUCAAAGAUGGUGAUAAGAAAUUUCAGCAUAUAUAUGCUGUGCUGAAUUUUCCAAGUACAGUGCAAAUGUUGGCAAACCUGUUUUCAAGAAUGGAAGAGCUAUAUUGUACAAUUGCUAAAACCCAGCUACCUCCAAGAGCAAGGCUAUGCGGCCUGCGGCCUGUCAGGGCCACAGGCCCAGAAAGUAAGCUCUGUCUGCCCUGCCCGUUCACCAGUGUCUGGCUAUCUGGUCUUAGGGCCAACUUUUGAUGCACCUUUGUGGCCUUCUGUCAGAGAACUGUGAGGAAAUAGCUGUGAGAAGUAGGAUUCUACCCUUUAAUCCUCGGGAGCUACCUUUAAGCUCAGACCUCACUCUUGAUUUCUGCCUGAGAAACAUUUACUGCACUGACUAUGACAGACCAGUGCCAGCUGAAUUGAAUUUCUGCUUGACCCUAAACCUAUCUCCUCAGCAUGGAUAUUUCUGGUGAUCUGGACUCUUGGGUGACCCUGGUUAUUAUCACCAGAGCUCACUGCUCCUGGUAUGGCUUGCAGAAACAUCUCAUGACUGAUCUCAGCACCAGCUUCAUGCCCCCUGCAGACAGCCAAUCUGCAAGGUUGGCCCCAGGUGGCGUUGGAAAUUGUCUCAACAGGUGGCAUCCCACAGCCUUGAUCUUGCCACCUAGUUUGCCCCAGCAGGCUGUCUUUGAGCUGCCCGGGAGGCUUCUGUGUCAGAGAGCAUGCCAAGAUCAUGGUUUUGUGUCAAAGGUUGUAUAGACACAGGCAACACAAUUUAUAAAGCUAAGUGAAGAGAGAGCUAAGUCUGUCCAAAUAUCAGAUACCAUAAUUCAUCUUGAUUAGCAUAGGAUAUUUCAACAGCUGUAACCAUUUAGGCUACAAUUCUGAAAGUCAAAUACUUUAAUCUAAUGCUAGCUGGAGACUGCCAAGGAAAGGGAGGAACUGAAAAGAAAAUAUAUCAAAAUUUCAAACUUCAUGCUAGAAACAAUAUUCCAAAACAUCAUUAAAAUGCUUAUGUUGAAAGUAUCAAAAUAUAACUUGGUUAAAUUCUGAAGCAAAUAUUUUGCUUCAGAUUUCUUGAGAAGGAUAUAGAGUAACCAAAAUACAAUACAGACAGAACUUAAGUUUGCAUCACAAAAAGUGAUGAUGAAAUCUACCACACAACAGUGCCUUAUCAUGAAGUCAUCUAAAAUUUAGUGGGCACCUCUGUCAUGUCUUUUCAUGGCCCUUAUGAUCUCUAAGUGCCUCCAAGUCCACAACAGGGCCUCAGCUGUAUCGCAUGUUCUCAUUUAUGCUCCACCACAAUCCUGAGAUAAGGACAUCUGUCAACAGCUGCAGUCCAUUACAAGCUGCUUAUAACAUCAAUAGAGUACAAAGCCUGGCACACUGCUCACAGCAUGGUUACCUUCUCCCAGAAUCCUGGCUAGCACUGGCAGUGUCCCUUCCUCUAGCAGCCCUGCUAAGGGACAGAAAGAUGAAUGUGGCCUGGAGGAACCUGGCUCUGCAAGAGGGGUAGAAGACAUGGGCUUGCUUUUAGAAGUGCAUGGCCUACUCAGUAAAAUGUCUCAACCUUCUAUGUGCCAACACUCAGUCCUGAACUGUUGCCCAAGCUUUAGAGAGGGGCUGGGGGUCAGACCUACUGCCACUCUCUGGCUACUGCCAAGCACUGUCCCACUCAGGACUUCUCACUCUGGCCUUUCUGAUGGUCAGCUUGCCCAGUGCUGUGCCCAAACCCAUGUAGCUAUAGCCGUGGAGCAUCUCAGUCAAGAAAUGGCCUUUGCCUUUUCUGCCAAACUCAGCUGCUUGUGUGGCUGUUGCUUGUCAUAAUCCACUUUUCCCAUUCUUUCUUUUAUUUAAGUAGGAUGAUGGGCUUUUUUUAACCUCGCUACCAGAGAGCUCCAGCAUACAAACAGCUAAUCAGUCCAAUAAAGGUGUAAGCAGUCUCUGCAAAGGGAAAGAACAGGUGCCAAGACUUAGCAAUGGAAGCCUCUGCUUUGGAAUUGCAUAUUUCCCGUCUAACUCUUUCCCUGUCUGAUGUAUUCAUAUCUGCUUGUACUCACUGCUCAGCCUCACAAGUCACAUUGCAGGUAGGAUACAGAGCCUGACCUUCACUGUCUAGCCAGUGUCCAGGAACCAACGUCUGCUGGUGUAGCCCCUCACACCUCAUGGUGAUUGGCAUUGUGCAAACUAGUCUUCCAGUGAGAGGAGGGGAAAGGUCUGGGGCCUUGCACUAAGCUCCAUAAAUCUGAAGCUGGGUAUGCAGCAUGCUAUACUUAUCACUUUUAUCCAGCAUGGACAUGCUUUGAAAUAAUAUUCAUUUUUCACCACGUAAGUGUCAGUGUAAUGCAGCUGAGUUAUUGAAAUAUUGACUAAGGCCUUCAAUGCCCUUUUGAACUACUAGCACUAUUUAAAAAAAGUGGUUAGGUAGUGUAUUCCUCCUCUUCCAGCUCACGAGAUUAAUUACUUACAAAAGAAGAGGCUCAUAUAGCUUUGGAUUACAGCCAGGAUGGAGACUUCCCAGUGUGGCAAAGACAUCAGUAACUGCAACAUAGUGUUAAAAGACACCACUGCUAAGCAAGGAUGCACUGAUAAAAUCAGUAUACUGAAGGAGGUUAGGUCCUCUUUCAGCCAAUAUUUUCUUAUAAAUUGUUUACUAUUUUUAAAGUAAAUAGUUUUUACAUUAAGCUUUCUUCUAAAACCUUCCUUUUGACAAAAACUAAUUGACUAUGCUAUUUGAUAAAUACUGCCUUUGCACCAAGAUCUUAUUUUUCAGUGGCAGAGGAAAAAAUUGUUUGCCCUCUUGCACCUAGUCAAAACGUGUAUAGGACUUAACCUUCUAGUUGUUAUUAUUUUGGCAAUAUUUGAUAUAGCCAAAUGUAAUGGACAUCCUUAAACCAUCUGUCAUACACUAGGGAAAAUAAAAGCACGGUUCAGAAUUCUGACCAGUCUACCAACAUGAGACAGUACAGGGGCUUGGAGGAUAGCUGAGGUUAGAAAGGACUUCUCACAGUCAUCUAGCCCAUAUACCUGCUCAGGGCAAGUUCAUCCAGAACAGGUUGCCUUGAACAACUUAUAGUCAGAUUUUGAAUAUCAAAGGAUGGAGAGUCCACAGCCUCUCUGGGCAGCCCAUUCCAGUGUUUAAUCAUCCUUACCAUACAUAAAGGUUUUUUCUAUGUUUACUUUGAUUUUUUUUUAAUUACAAUUUGCACCCAUUGCCUUUUUUCCUUUUGCUGGGCACUACUGAGAAGUAUCUGGUGCCUGUAACAUACUACCUGGUUCCCAUACUCUACUCUCCUAGUCAAAAACUUUCUUCUAAUUUGUAUCGCAAUAUGUGACCACUGACCCUUCUUAUGUACUUCCACAAAAGAGAAGAGCUUGGUUAUGCUAUCUUUGUAACUCUGCUUCUACUGCUAUUAGAUCAUCCUCUAGACUCCUCUUUGCUAGGAAGAAUAAGUCCAGCUCCUUCACAUCUUCAGACGUGAUGUGCUCUGGGCUACCAAAGGGCAUGGUACUCUCUCCUGUCUCUCUCUGGUUACUCAUCUUGAGCUAUACUUUGUAUCCCUUGUGUGGGCUCAAAAGCAUCUCCAGGUAAAGAGGAAUUAUAACAAUUAUAACUCCCCUUAACCAACUAACCAUGCUCUUCCUAAUGUAGUCUGAUAUGCAGCCUGCCUUAUUUACUUGUUUAUUCUUCUAUCACACCCUAAGUCCUUCCUCUUAAACAUAAAUAUGUAGUCAUUGUUUGAAAUGAAUCAGUAGAUAUAAUGACAUUGUUAAAACAAACUAUGCUAUUAUUGAAAGAUACGCCUCAAAGUUCUUGGUUUCUUGUUCCAGUGACAAACCGAUUCACCACAAGAAACUAAAAGAAAAUAAUGAAAUGGUUCAACCAAACUGAGCAUUGCUGAACCAGUCUGACACUUAAGAGUUUGCAGAAUUGUUUUUCUGCUGGUGCUCAUGUAAGAAAGCAGGCUGUUGCUGCAAGAAUGCAACCCAUCUGAAAAUCAAAGCUUUCUUAACCAAGAGGGGCAGGCAGUAUCAGAAAUUCCAGAUCAAUGUGUGGUAUAUGCUGAGUCUGUUUAUCUCUAGAAAAUUACUUUGAAGUCAGAACAUGGAUGGCACUCAGAAAUACUGAUAUGCACCUCCACCCACUCCUUGAAAAACUCUCACUCAAAAACCAGACCUUCUGCUCUGGUCUAGAUAAGAGAUCUUGGCUGAAGGCCCAGCAGACCUUGCAGUCUGCCUAAAUCAGGCUUGGGUGGACCCUGAAAUGAGAUAUCAUCUCUCUCAAUUCACUGUGGAGGCAGUGGCAUUGAAAGAAAAGGAAAAUGUAGGGAACUGUAUUUAAGCUGACAGUUAGGAACUUCAAGAAAAGAUUAAGGGUUAGAAAAUGAAGAAAUGAACAUUGCUUUUUCAAAAAAUGAAGAAGGAGUAGGCUGAGAAAAUGAUUUUCUAUUAUUAUUAUUAUAUAAAUACAUUGUGCAAGGCAUUUAUUGGCUUCCACUCCCAGUAGCUUCAGUGGGAGAGGCUGUACUUUGUCAGCUGCUUCCCCCUCCUUUAGCAAAACCUUGAGCCAUCUGAGACACUUAGCUCAAGCUAAAUGAUCAUACGCCAAGUGUUGUGAUGAUGACUGAUUCUGCCUGAGUGGAAUUGCACAAUGAGCAAGAGUGGAAAUAAGUAGGUGUUUUAAAGGACAUGGUUGUGUGAGUCCCUGAUUCCUUAAGCUACAGAGCUGUCUUAAAAAACACUGUUGCCUAGUGAUACCUGUCCCCUUAGCUGCCACGACAACCAUCAAACCAGGAGAUUCACAAGCUGCUGCAACCCUAGAGCUUGAGCCAAGGGACAGAGAGGAAGUGCGCUUCCAAUGAAGGGGCAGAAAAAUGUCACACCAGAAAGCAAGAACAAGCUGGAAAGACGGCAGCUUAAGCAGGAAGCACAAGCAAUCAACAUGGAUCUCUUCAUUCCUAGGGACUAAGCACGUGUGCCCAGAGAGACCAAAUCCCAUUUGCAAGAAAUCAUUAAAUGUUGUACAGGGA